AUUGCCAGGAAAGUAUCCUAAACCUCAUUAGAAGAAAUGUAAAACAUUCUAACGAAUUAGAGUAAAAUGAAAUACAAGAAGUCAACUCCUCAAAAUACUCGGAUAGGAUAGGGUAAAAAUUCCUUGGUCAAACUAAUUUGCUGGUACAAUUUGCUUUUUAAUGAAUAUUUUUCUUUCUCCUUUAUUUAUUUAUUUUUUCCUUGUGGUUUUUUUUUUCUUGCUGGGUUCGCUUAAUAAUAUCCUUAAUUUUUUCGUUUAAAAAAUAUUGCCGGCAAUUGCUUAUCUUGAUGAUUAUCUAAACAGCCAAUAUUUGCCUUUGUCCUACUUUGCAAAGUGAAAGCGUUUUGCGAACCGAUGAAAUCAAAUCCUGAAAAAUUUUGAAAAAGGAAACGCUUUUUCCUGCGGCUAACUGCUCGUUUUAGUAGGCUAAAUAAUGGCUUCAAUGUGGUUUUGUUUUUUUGUUUAGUACUUAACAUAUAUAAGUAACAAUGUAUUGUGCAGACAAAUGACGAAAAAAAUCACUAAUUAUUAUCACUGAAUGUACCCACAAGCCCUAUAACAAGCCCUAUUCAGAAGUAACUAUGGAGUGAACGACUUUCUCGUUUACUUCAACGCUCUUAUAACAAAUAAUAUACAGAAAAUUCACUUUUUGACACUAAAAGCAUUUCACUCAAAAUAUUAAACGAGAUCAGAGCACAAGGGUUAAUAUUAGAAGAAGAAGUAUCAGGGCACUCAGUAAGUUGUUGGAAGAUGCAGUUCAUAAUUUCAAUGAAUAAAAGUGAAUAUCAUUCUAACAUUAAAAAUACAACAAAACACAAUACCUAGAGAUACUUGCUGAGGUCCUAUGCUCCACUGGGAGUUAACGGAACAAAGAAGAAGAGAUACUUGUGGACAACAAACGACAAUGAAAAUCCAUUGCGAGAAACAUCGUGUAGUGGCUAUCAUUAGAGGGUCUUUAAGAAAUAUAACAGUAUUUUAUUAACUUCUUCGAUAAUUUUAAACCUACGUCUUCAACGAGUUUACGAAAGUUUAAGUAAUUAUUUCGUCUUUUACAUUUGGAAAAUGGAAUUGUACGUAUCGUUUACCGCCUAUAUUCCUGUAUUUAUAUACCUGCUGUAUUUUGUGACACUAUAACAUUACAAAGUAUCGAGCAUAUGCGGAUACUGUACCUCGAAUCCUCAAACAUUGUAAGCUCUGAAAAGAAUUAUCCGGCAAGUUAUGACCGAUUUAUUGUGACUGUGUGCCAGCAAGCCAGUUAAUAUUACCUCAAAAUGUUUUCAUUAAAAUAUUUUCUUCUAUUGAAACGUCAAAAACUUCUCGCUUCGAACGACAUAUUUUGCUUUUGGGGAGUAAGAUUUUUUAAAUCGGUUUUUUAAUAAGUAAUCAAAAGAUAUCCGGAAUGAAUGGUAUGAAGAAUCAAAAUUCAUUCCGUUCAAAUCACUGGGUUGGUUGGAGUUAAACAUUAGGACAUUUAAUGACUGAACUCAAUCGUGAACGCCGGCGCGGAUAAACCCAAAAUCAAGCUAUGGACCAAACCUCAGUCCAAUUGGAUUGUUGCCAUUGCAGUUAAAUAGCCGGCGUUACUGAUGAAGUCCAAGCUGCCAAUAAUGGACAAUGGAGAGGGUUAGCAAGAACAAUCGCCUUCUUUGGAAGAGUGUGAUUUAUAUGUAAUCUAAUUAAUGUACCAAUAUCAUUAAUUAAAUUAACAAUAGAUAAAGUAUAGGUGGCUUUUUUGGUAGGUCCUCACAACGCAUUGCGAUUUGAUACCUUAACAAUUGUAUUUCGCAAAUAUUUUGUCAAGGUUGUUAAAAUCCGACCAUUUUUCCCCAUUAAUAUUUGAAUUAAAUUGAAUGUUAAAUUUAUUUUUCAAAAG